rnacentral:rRNA from 1 species
CCUACGGGUGGCAGCAGUGAGGAAUAUUGGUCAAUGGGGGAAACCCUGAUGCAGCGACGCCGCGUGAGUGAAGAAGUAUCUCGGUACGUAAAGCUCUAUCAGCAGGGAAGAAAAUGACGGUACCUGACUAAGAAGCCCCGGCUAACUACGUGCCAGCAGUCGCGGUAAUACGUAGGGGGCAAGCGUUAUCCGGAUUUACUGGGUGUAAAGGGAGCGUAGACGGCAGCACAAGUCUGGAGUGAAAUCCCGGGGCUUAGCCCCGGAACUGCUUUGGCAACUGUGCGGCUGGAGUGCAGGAGGGGUAAGCGGAAUUCCUAGUGUAGCGGUGAAAUGCGUAGAUAUUAGGAGGAACACCGGUGGCGAAGGCGGCUUACUGGACUGUAACUGACGUUGAGGCUCGAAAGCGUGGGGAGCAAACAGGAUUAGAUACCCCGAUAGUC